GCUGCUCUAGUGCACUGGGCCUGGGACUUCAAGAGGAGGCUGUUUGCUCUGGACAGGCUCCUGCCUGCAGCUAAAAGAAGUGGUGGGAGAAGCAGUCUGGAGAGGACAGUGUUCAGUUGGGCACUACCCCCAGGUCAGGCUGCACAGCUGAAACCUUGGAGUGAAAACUCCCCAAGAAACCAGACAGCCCCAGGCCUGAGGCUUGGGAUUUGCUCUGAAAGUCCCUGUCUGGGCUUCCUGGGGUUUGUUCUCCUGACUGCGCUUGGAGGAUGCCUUGAUGUGUCUGGGCUGCUGACGGGGUCUGUGGCCAUCAGUGCAGUGCCCAUGGGGUGUGUGUGCAGAGGAAUUGGACCCAUUCCAGAGUACCCCUAAAGGUGAAUCCAGAAGAGGUGCAGGGAGUAUCCAGGCUUUCUCACAUUCACUCCAGACUUCACCAGCUGCACCUGGGACCAAACACCUGAAAACCAAGAUUCCCUUAUGAAAUCGAGAUGCUUCCAAGUGGUGCAGGCUGUCUUGGACAGAGAAGAUCUGCCGUGCUUGCUGAAUGUGCUGAGCCCUGCUGGGAGGCAUCCAGCAGCUCUCCUGUGGCCUGAGUUCUCCUGGGAGGGUUUCCAGCAGCACUGAGGUCUCCUUAACCACUGCUGCAAAGUGCCAGGAAAUAAGCUCUGACUGGCAGGAGAUAGCUGGGGAUGUCUACCAUACAAGCUGUAUAUUCUCAAGUUACGGGGAGUUCCUCUACCCUGGCAAGAGAUCUGACUUGCGUGGAGCCCAGCACAAGCUAUCGCAUCCCCGAGAUUGGGACACUCCGGGGCCAGGAGAACUGGUGAGGGCUUCAGGCUAGAGCCACUGUGAAGUGAUCAUCCUCUCUGCUCUGUCCUGUUGCCUGCCUGUGUGUGCGUCCUUAAAUAAAGCUUUGCAAAGGUGAGA